rnacentral:tRNA from 1 species
GGGUUUGUGGCUCAGUGGUAGAGCGCUCACCUAGCAUGUGUGAGGCCCUGGGUUCGAUGCUCAGCACCG